rnacentral:rRNA from 1 species
UACGUAGGGUGCGAGCGUUGUCCGGAAUUAUUGGGCGUAAAGAGCUCGUAGGUGGUUUGUCGCGUUGUUCGUGAAAACUCACAGCUCAACUGUGGGCGUGCGGGCGAUACGGGCAGACUGGAGUACUGCAGGGGAGACUGGAAUUCCUGGUGUAGCGGUGGAAUGCGCAGAUAUCAGGAGGAACACCGGUGGCGAAGGCGGGUCUCUGGGCCGAUACUGACGCUGAGGAGCGAAAGCGUGGGGAGCGAACAGG